rnacentral:misc_RNA from 1 species
UCCGGUUUGUCACCGGCGGUCUCCUUAGAGUUCCCAACUUAAUGAUGGCAACUAAGGACAAGGGUUGCGCUCGUUGCGGGACUUAACCCAACAUCUCACGACACGAGCUGACGACAGCCAUGCAGCACCUGUGCACGAUCUCCGAAGAGGGGCUCUCGUUUCUGAGAGCUUGCUCGUGCAUGUCAAGCCUAGGUAAGGUUCUUCGCGUUGCGUCGAAUUAAACCACAUACUCCACCGCUUGUGCAGGCCCCCGUCAAUUUCUUUGAGUUUUAAUCUUGCGACCGUACUUCCCAGGCGGCGUAUUUAUCGCGUUAGCUACGCCACAAAAGGGGUCGAUUCCUUUUACAGCAAAUGUGCACCGUUUACAGCUAGGACUAC